AGAGUGCAAAGGCAGAAGGGAGCUUAACUGCGAGACGGACACGUCAAGCAGAUGCGAAAGCAGGGCUUAGUGAUCUUACGGUGCUGUGUGGAAAGGCCGUAACUCAUUGGAUAAAAGGUACUCCGGGGAUAACAGGCUAGUCGCCCCCAAUAGCUCGUAUAAACGGGGCGGUUCGGCACCUCGAUGUCGGCUCGUCACAUCCUGGGGCUGCAGCAGGUCCCAAGGGUUCGGCUGUCCGCCGAUUAAAGUGGCACGCGAGCUGGGUUUAGAACGUCGUAAGACAGUUCGGUCCCUAUCUGGUAUGGGCGUAGGAUAUUUGAGAGAUGCUGCCCCUAGUAUGAGAAGACCGGGGUGGACGUACCUCUAGUGCACCAGUUGUCACGCCAGUGGCACCGCUGGGUAGCUAUGUGCGGAAUGGAGAAACGCUGAAAGCAUAUAAGCGUGAAACCAACCUCAAGAUAAGAUAUCCCACAACGUUAAGUUGGUAAGGCUCCUUCGAGAUAAGGAGGUUGAUAGGCCAGAUGUGUACACCGUGUGAACGGUUCAGCUAACUGGUACUAAUAAGCCGAGGGCUUGAUAAC
rnacentral:rRNA from 1 species